rfam:Camelus ferus unplaced genomic scaffold scaffold593, whole genome shotgun sequence.
GGGGGUAUAGCCCCAUGGUAGAGUGCAUGCUUAGCAGCAUGAAGUCCUGGGUUCAAUCCCCAGUACCUCCA